rnacentral:rRNA from 1 species
GACGAACGCUGGCGGCGCGCCUAACACAUGCAAGUCGAACGGAGUCAAGAGGAGCUUGCUUUUCUUGACUUAGUGGCGAACGGGUGAGUAACGCGUGAGUAACCUGCCCUGGAGUGGUGGACAACAGUUGGAAACGACUGCUAAUACCGCAUAAGCCCACGGAUCCGCAUGGAUCUGCGGGAAAAGGAUUUAUUCGCUUCAGGAUGGACUCGCGUCCAAUUAGCUAGUUGGUGAGGUAACGGCCCACCAAGGCGACGAUUGGUAGCCGGACUGAGAGGUUGAACGGCCACAUUGGGACUGAGACACGGCCCAGACUCCUACGGGAGGCAGCAGUGGGGGAUAUUGCACAAUGGGGGAAACCCUGAUGCAGCGACGCCGCGUGGAGGAAGAAGGUUUUCGGAUUGUAAACUCCUGUCGUUAGGGACGAUAAUGACGGUACCUAACAAGAAAGCACCGGCUAACUACGUG